rnacentral:rRNA from 1 species
UACGUAGGGAGCAAGCGUUGUCCGGAAUCAUUGGGCGUAAAGCGCGCGUAGGUGGCUCUAUAAGUCCGUUGUGAAAGUCAAAGGCUCAACCUUUGAAAGCCGAUGGAUACUGUAGAGCUAGAGUCCGGAAGAGGCGAGUGGAAUUCCUGGUGUAGCGGUGGAAAUGCGCAGAUAUCAGGAGGAACACCAAUAGCGAAGGCAGCUCGCUGGGACGUGACUGACACUAAGGCGCGAAAAGCGUGGGGGAGCGAACAGG